ensembl:lncRNA
GGGUGAUAAGCUUGUGGUGCUGACUUCUUUAUGUACCCAUUCUGACAUGUGUAUAGUGUGCAGUGUAUUCACAUGGCCUCUUUUACCACCACCCACAGAUUCAUGAGAAAAACAAGUUACAUGCCGAAAGCUGCCAUCAUUGGCUGCCCACACAUGGGCAAAAAAAAAAGGAGGGUGUGGGGGACAAUGUGAAGGUGUUGCUGGCUGACGCCGCUGUAAGCCACUGUGGCUCAGGUGAGGCGGGUGCUCCUUUCAGGUCCAUCAUCUGCACUCUUCCCAUCAUACUCAUGAGAAACUCCCAGCGUGCCUUCAGGGCCAUCUCUCGCCAGUAACAGAUCGGUGAUUAACAUGACUGCUUGGGCAGAGGAUUAUAAAUUCUAGUACUGCCUAGUACUGGAUAAAGGACAUCUUCCCUGAAGGCACCAGUUGUUCCAGUCUAGGCAGCACUGCAUCAGAUACUUAUGUGCAAGUUACCUAUGCCAUGGGUACUGACACCCCCCCAUACCAUGACAGAUGCUGGCUAUUGGAUCUGAAGCUUGGGUGGUCCUUUUCCUCUUUGGUCCGGAGAACACGAUGGCUGUUUUGUCCAAUAACUAGGUGAAAUGUUGUCUCGUCGGGCCACAAAACAUGAUUCCACUGUACUACUACUGUCCAUCUCAGAUGAGACCAAGCCCAGAGAAGUCUUCUGGACAGUGUUGAUGUAUGGCUUCACUUAACUUGCAUCUGUGGAUGUAGCGGUGAAUGGUAUUGACUGACAAAGGUUUCCCAAAGUAUUCCGGAGCCCAUGUCAAGAUAUCCAUUACAGACUCAUGACGGUUUUUAAGACAGUGGCAUCUGAGGGAUUGGAGAUCCCACGCAUUCAGAAGUGGUUUUUGGCCUUGCAAUAUACACACCGAGAUUUGACCAGAUUCCUUGAAUCUUUAAGUAUAUUGUGCACUGUAGAAGGUGAAAUGCCCCAAACCCUAUCGAUUUGUCUUUGGAGAAUGUUGUUAUUAAAGUUGUUAUUUGAUGAUACAUCUGUUGGCAGACUGGUGAACCUUGACCCAUCCUUGCUCUUAAAGGACUAGGACUUUUUUGGAGGCUCUUUAUAUACUAUGAUUAGAUGAUAGCCUCACCUGCUUCACAUCACCUCCUUAUUUCAACUUGUCACACUGCUAUUAGUCCUAAAUUGCCCCAGUCUUUUUUGGAACAUGUUGUGUGCAUCAAUUUCAAAAUAAACAUUUACCUUCAAAAAGUUAUGCAGUUGAUUAGGUAAAACAUCAAAUACCUUGUCUUUAUAUGAUUUUUGUUUAAUUACAAGUCAAAGUACAUUUACAAUUCACUCCUCUUUGUUUUUAUUAGCAUUUUCCAUAUUUUCUCACUUUUUCAGAAUUGAGGUUAUACUAUUUGUAUUUGUAUUUUUUUGUCACACUGAAUAUUGACUUUGUUUCAUUUACUACUGUUUACUGUUCUUUAUGGUAUUUUUUUAAUGUAGAAACAUUUAAUUUCAUUAUUUUGAAAGCAUCUUUGCCUUACACCAUUUAUUUGCAUGUGCCUAAAUCAUUUGCACAGUACUGUAGGUAAGUGUUACGAAAGGGUUACACAACUCUUCGCAAUAACUCCUCUGCUUCAAAGGUGCAGCUGGGUCAUAUGUUUUGUAAAUCUAACAGAUGUCUUGAUGAAUACCUCAAAGAAGGUUUCCAAAACAUAUAUACAAUUCCAUGCAUGAAAAACACUUUAAUGCAUUGAAAAAAUCCUGGAUCCCCAUUCCACCAUCCUGAUACCACCACUGCAGCCCUCACCACAACUGAGGAACAACAGAAACAACACUGUACCUCUAUUCGAUUAUUUUAAAGACAUGUAUAUUAUCAGAACACAUUCUGAUGGAGGGUUUGGGUGAUGACAGGUGUCGUCUGGCAACAAAUAAACAGCAUUGUUACAUGAGAAAGAACAAUGGUUGCACAGAAACACUGCAUGAAUUGAGUGUAAUAUAUGUUAGUAGACAAGAAUGUCUACACAAAACAUGAUGUGCCAGUGCUGUUGCUUCUGGCAAUCACCUGUGCAAGCAACCACAACUGGCAAUACAAACUGGCCAAAACCUUUAAGCACAGCAAGGGCAGCUCCUGGUGGCAAUUUCAACAACACUUUUUAUGAUCUUUGACUUUGCUCAGCAAUGUCCGCCAUUGUCUUAUCAUACAUUGAGAAACAAGAUAGAACAAAUGGUGCUUUUGAUGGAGGACAAAUGAAUGUAAAUGUUUUGGUGAAAACACUGAGCAAGUCCAUUAAGCGUCAAGGCGAGGAUUUGCUUGUAAGUUGCUUGGAAUGAAUACAUGUAAACAUGCUCUAGUCCCACAGAAACUUCAACCAUCUAUCUCUACAUGGCCGUUCCCUUGAUAUCCCAACUGGUCCCAUCAUAACCCUGCUUCCUUCCAGCUAUAGCUCCUUCCAUCCCUCCCUGUGGGUCUGGGUAUGCACAACCUGUAAUUGUGGAGUAGCCACAGCACAUAGACUGUGAUAUAAAUAUCAAUUUCUGCUAUUCCUGUGAAAAUAAAGCAUGCUGUGAAAAAAAGAGAAAGAAUGGCUCUUUUUUCAUGUCCUAUUUCAGGUUAUUCUCAGAGCCCGGCACCUACAGCAUCCUGAGCACUGCCUCUAUGAAUGUGAUGCACUGCACUAUUGUGUUUAGCUCUUAAGACUGUGACUUCAUGCUUUCAAAUUGCUA